rnacentral:rRNA from 1 species
AUUGAACGCUGGCGGCAUGCUUUACACAUGCAAGUCGGACGAGUGGCGAACGGGUGAGUAACAUAUCGGAACGUACCGAGUAACGGGGGAUAACUAAUCGAAAGAUUAGCUAAUACCGCAUAUCAUCCGAGCGGCCGAUAUAUGAUUAGCUGGUUGGUGGGGUAACGGCUUACCAAGGCGACGAUCAGUAGCGGGUCUGAGAGGAUGAUCCGCCACACUGGGACUGAGACACGGCCCAGACUCCUACGCGAGGCAGCAGUGGGGAAUAUUGGACAAUGGGCGCAAGCCUGAUGCAGCCAUGCCGCGUGUAUGAAGAAGGCCUUCGGGUUGUAAAGGACUUUUGGCAGGGAGGCGUGACCUGCAGAAUAAGCACCGGCUAACUACGUGCCAGCAGCCGCGGUAAUUC